GCGGCGAUAGUCUAACGGUAGGACAUUAGCCUUCCAAGCUAAUUAUCCGAGUUCGAAUCUCGGUCGCCGCA
rnacentral:tRNA from 2 species